rnacentral:lncRNA from 1 species
UUUAUUUCCCUUAUGGGGCGAUUAUAUAAACUAAAAUUAUGGCUGCAGCAAGCUCCCUCUUGGGUAUGUUUGAAAAAUUGCAAGGUUCACCUGUAAUGAAGGGGGAAAAUGAUGAGUUUAAAAACGUGUUGACUAGGAAAAGCUAAUAAAGAUAGUGAAUUUGGGGCAAAUAAAUUCUGAUCAUAGAUUUUUUUUUGUAGUAUUAAAAAAAACCCUGUAAAAUUAACUUACAAUCCAUACCUUUUAUUGCUUCAAAAGCAGAGCUUGUGUUGUCUUUUUAAAAAUCAACUGUGAAAGGCAAUUAAUUGUGCUUGUUGUAGUAAAUACAUUGUUACCACUUAGAGCAACCAAAACCGGACAUUUUGAUUUUGUUCUGUGAUUAAGCUGAGUCAGGUCCAUGCAGUAGACAACACAGCGCUUUGUCAUCCUACCCAUGGUCCAGAAGCCUGUUGAAUUUUCCGUUUGGAAAUCUGUAUUAGUAACGGUAGGUGAAAUGGUUUGAGAGAUCAUCUUAAUUAUUGGGACUUAAUAUUUUGGUGGGAUAUAUAUAUAUAUAUGUAUAUAUAUAAACAAAUAGAAGAGCUAUUAACCUUGUAAAAGAAAAUAUACUUUGAAUUUUAUAGGUUCUAACUCAUUAUGUAGGAGUGGUAUUUUUAUGUAUUGUCCCUGUUUAGCUGAUUCCUCAGAUAAGUUAUAUUUUAGAAACAUUUAUGAACAUUGAUUAAAUCCAGAUAAAGUAGCAUAAAAGAUCUGUAAAUCUUAGCCACUUGUCUAUGUGUGCUGUAUAUGUAAACCAUAUCAUGGAUUUAAGACAGGGAUCUGUGUUCUAGGUUAUUUGUUUCAGACAAAGAACCACAUUGCACCAUUUCAGCUCUGGGCUUUGUCAACUAGGUUUCUCUGACCUUAUUGUCUGUCUCCUGUUGCUGGGCAGGAAAUAGAAUGCUGGCUACUGAUUGGCUGAGUUUCUAUGUAGCUCUUGAACAGCCACUUAAAUUCUUGAGUUUUUUGAGCAGGGAGAUUAUAAGCUAAGACAAAACAGUUUCCCUUUGUUUCAUGGCUGUCUGUGAUCUCUUGCUAGAAAAUGAAAGAAGUGGGUGCGGGGAGGGGGCUCAGGAAAAGUUCUCCUUUGAAGAAGAGGCUCACUGCUCUUCCCUUAAAAAGAAUUUA